CUAAUACUCGUUUCUGAUCACACAGUAGCCUUUACAUAGUGAUACAGUUGUAAGCAGUAAAGUUAGCAAAGUAACGCUAGAUAGACAAUGACAUAUAAGUUGGCUGUUCUCAACAUAAAACAACUGUUAGCUACCGAGCUACUUCUAGAGUUUUACUUUACCACGCAAGCCUGUUGCUGUAAAGUUAUUCAAAGUUAUUCGAGAUAACUGCAGAUACAUUUGCGAGAUGUACAUUAUUAAUUCAAUAAUAUUUAUGCUUGCUACACGUAACGUUACCAUAUUCUUAUUCAGACUUUAUUGAUAAGGUGGUGUUGAUAAAUUCAAAAACUACAUGCAAAGUCAAACUUCUGCUGUUAUUUUGGUGAAAGUAAUGCAAAAGUAUUGUUCUGCAUUUACUCACAGGUUUCCGGAAGAAGAUGCAGAAGAAGGGGAAAAAAGAACAAUGAAAUCCUCCUUGCAUGGACCAGGUCUGUCAUAAAUCAUAUGUGGUUUUCCUGUGCAACCAGUAAGGGGGACGUCGAGGAGAAGCACGGUUGAACCAAAUGUUCUGCAAGAAAUCCAAGCAGUGGGUCUUGAAGAAAAGCUUCAUACCACACACCACACAGUUUGUAGACGAACUCAUCCAGAAGGCCAUUGACAAGACUCAAUCCAAACAUUGUGUUCAAAGUGCCAACGUCCUCACUUGCCCUGCCACAGCCUGCGCUGCCACCCAACAUUGCACCAGUGCCUAAACCAUCAAAGGAGGCUGCGACAACUUCUUUCAAAAGUCGCUUCUGAGACUGACACUUUCUAAUAAUAAUAAUAAUCACCUCUUCCCUGAGUCCUAUUGCUGUGUCUAAUCAGAUUCUGCUGCCACCACUCUUUAUAUUUAUAUUAUUAUAUACUGUGUGUAUAUAUACACAAUGUUUUAGUAUAUAUUUUUGCUUUGUUUUUAUUUUGUGCAGGACAUUUUUAGAAGUAAAUUAUGUCAUUGUUUAUUUUAAUGGUUUCUUUUCACUGGUGACACAAUAUUUUUCCUUGGUGAAU